UUCAUGCUCAAAAUUCAUAUUAUGCUUGACAACUUGCAUAAUGCAUAAUUGCACAUACACUACUAAUUGAGGCUACCAAUAAUGUUCUGCAUAUGAUGAGACAAAUAACAAAAUCAUGGUCCAUCCCAUUGGCCUUGUUGAGAAUCUUUUUUUCUUCAUGUACGGCCUAGUAGAUAUUGCCAAUAGCUCUGGGCCUACUAUCACUCAUGCUGCACGUUUGGAGCCGCAGAGAAUGAUCAUGGAAAAUAUAAUUAUGCUGUGUGUAGUAAACUGCAAAAACAUUAGGGAAAAAGGUUACCUGACAAAACUGAGAAAAGCCUUUGAAAUAGUGCUAUGUGAAAUCAAUUAUGAUUUGUUCUUUUGGAAAUAUUAUCAAGCUGUUCAGGGUUGAGUAAUUUGGUGGUACUUUUAGUCCUUUACUGGUAGAAAAUGAAAAGCAAUUGCUUUUGAGGGUCACUGAAAUAAAAACUUACAAUGCACAAUGAUUGAAGUAAGAUUGAUGUUAGGACAUGGAACAUUAAUUCAUCCUUAGUUCAAAACAUGUACAUGCAUGUUUUAAACCUGUGGUUUGUUGAAUCAGG
rnacentral:lncRNA from 1 species